rnacentral:tRNA from 1 species
GCCCCCGUUGUCUAAUGGCUAUGACGUCAGACUUCUACCUGUCGUCCGGGGGAUCUGGAGGUUGCGGGUUCGAGUCCCGCCGGGGGUA